UGGGCUAAUCGCAGCCUUGAAGAGAAGCCGCUCGGCCGGGAUGUGCCGCACCGCCUCAUUGGUGCGAAGAGGGAACCCCCACCAAUAGGGACCGGAAGAAGGCGGAGCCGGAACAAGAUCACAGACCAUUGGCUGCUUCUAGCGGCCUUCUGCCCAAUGGCGAUGCAAAGGCUCAAGGGGGCUCUAUAAAAGUCGCUGCAGGCGCCAAAGCCCGUUCUUUCAGCACUGAAGGCGUGAGCAGCCCGGGCACCAGAGCCAGCACAACACCGGCGAGCGGAGCGGCCCCCGGGCAUGCCGGCGGGCAUCAGAUGCACUGAGACAGCAGCUUGGCUCGGCGUGCGGACCUUAAGGCUCCUGCCUUGGACGUGACAUCCUCUGUUCCCCCGUCAUCGCGCUCGUCUGUUCUCGCGUGGAUGUGACAGGGUUAGAUGUGAAGUGAUGGUGGGGGGGGGGAUAUUUUUAUGUCUUAUGUGAAAUACUACUAUAUCAGCUCCUGGAAUAGGGUGUACGAGCCUGGCUAGAUCAGCGGUGGCUGAGCCCAAGGCAGCCCAUGCGCAUGGGGAGGGCAGGGAGCAGAAAGCAGAGCAGCAGUGCUUGGAGGGGGUAGGGCUGAUUUUAAGGCAUGCUUGCUGCUGCACUACAUUAGUGGCUUUCAACCCAUGGGUUAUAACCCUAAAGUGGGUCACGAAUAUAUGAAAGGGUCAUGAACAAAUGUUAAAAACGGAUUCUCUUUUAAAGGAGAAAAAGGUGGGAAGCGUUGGCUCUUCCCUUGCAGGCUGGCAGAGCUGCUGCUUGGAAGGGGGGCUUGCCCCACAUGCCGGGUGUCUGGUUUGGGGGGCGAGGAGUGAGGGGCACUAAGUCGGGACCCAUCAUGGGUGUUUACACACGGGUCCUGGGGCAACAAAGGGUGAGAACUGCUGCGCUAGAUCAUAGCAUUAAAACUGCAGAGGGAAUAAAUAGCCUUUUAGUGGCAAAGAGCCUCCCUGAGCUUGCAGUAAAGCAGUUCAUGGUGCUGUUACGUGACUAAACCUUGUGAGUUGCAUAGUCUUGCCCCAGCUUAACACUGAACUGACUUUGCAUAUCUAAAGUGUGCAUCCAGCCAUGAUGAAAUUGGUAGAAUCCAGGUUUUUCUUUUACCUCUGUAUCAUACUGUGCACAGAUGUGAAUUAAAAGUGAGAAUAAACAUUGCUGCCUCUA